GGCGCCUCGGGAGGCGGGUCCUGUCGUCGCCAUGAUGGAGAAGGGCAGGAGACUGCUGACGCCGGCGCCGCCAUCUUGAGUGCGGGCCACACGUCGGGGACGAUUGCUGUGAGAUAGCUGACCCAGAGUGUCGUCUGCUCAGGCCCUGUGGAGUGUGGCCUUCAUGUGUACUCACUUCCCUGCGCCUCUUCCGGCCUCACCUGCUGGGGCACGUUAGCUCAGGGGAGAUGGAUAUCCAAAGCCAGCCGAGAGAACUGGACCUUCCUUAACAUCUCGGGGCACAUCCACCACAUGCCAAUCUAUGGCAAAGCAAGAGAGAAGACCCAGCUUGCAGCCCCCACUACGUCCUAGUUCAGGUGUCUGUCUCCUUGGUCGAAUCACUUAGCUUUCUGAGCCUGAGUUUCGUUUUGCGUAAGAUGAAACAAGAGCAGCCGCCGGGGGACAUGGGAUUAAACGAAGUACAAGUGUUGGUUUCUCAUCUCCGUGCAAGCAGAUUUAUCUGGCUCCUCGGUCGACAAAAUCAUCUCCUCAAGAAACAUGGGUAAGUGUAAGAUUUAACAAUAAAAUAAUAUUUUU
rnacentral:lncRNA from 1 species